UACGGAGGGGGCUAGCGUUGUUCGGAAUUACUGGGCGUAAAGCGCACGUAGGCGGACUUUCAAGUCAGGGGUGAAAUCCCGGAGCUCAACUUCGGAAUUGCCUUUGAUACUGUAGGUCUCGAGUCCGGAAGAGGUGGGUGGAAUUCCUAGUGUAGGGGUGAAAUUCGUAGAUAUUAGGAAGAACACCGGUGGCGAAGGCGGCCCACUGGUCCGGUACUGACGCUGAGGUGCGAAAGCGUGGGGAGCAAACAGG
rnacentral:rRNA from 1 species